rnacentral:rRNA from 1 species
UACGUAGGAGGCGAGCGUUGUCCGGAAUCACUGGGCGUAAAGCGCGUGUAGGCGGGAAGCUCAGUCUGUGGUGAAAGCGCCUGGCUUAACCGGGCGAGGUCCAUGGAAACUAGCUACCUGGAGGCCGGUAGAGGGGGGUGGAAUUCCGGGUGGUAGUGGUGAAAUGCGUAGAGAUCCGGAGGAACACCAGUGGCGAAGGCGGCCCCCUGGGCCGCGCCUGACGCUGAGACGCGAAAGCGCGGGGAGCGAACGGG